rnacentral:rRNA from 1 species
UACGUAGGGGGCAAGCGUUGUCCGGAAUCAUUGGGCGUAAAGCGCGUGUAGGCGGCCCGAUAAGUCCGCUGUGAAAGUCCAGGGCUCAACCCUGGGAUGCCGGUGGAUACUGUCGGGCUCGAGUCCGGAAGAGGAGUGUGGAAUUCCUGGUGUAGCGGUGAAAUGCGCAGAUAUCAGGAGGAACACCGAUUGCGAAGGCAGCUCGCUGGGACGUAACUGACGCUGAGACGCGAAAGCGUGGGGAGCAAACAGG